AGAACUCAUCAGAUUAGCGUUGCAACAUCCCAGGAAACUCAGAAACCUGUCCUAAAACCAUGGUGCCCAGAACACAUCCAGCAAGCAAAGCCUUCCUCCUUUUUUGUGUCAUUCAUGUUUAAAGGAGAACAUGCAAAACACACUGGUCCUGUGUGCAAGCAAGAACAGAAUGUGGGACUCCAAGCAGACAUUAAAAUAGGCCCACCCUUAAAGAAUACAAACAGAAGACAGAUUCUAGACCAGGACAGAUUGAAUUAUAGCGAAGUGAAGAUAAAAGAGGCUGGAGAGAUAAAUAAGGCUUCAGGUAGCUGCAGUAUAUUUAUUACCCUGUUAUUUUAACAGACAUUCACAUCUUGAUUCAAAAUACACUUUUGUUACUCUCUACAUCUUUUCCAUUGCCUGGAAACAGCAAUCAACAAAUGAAUGUUUAACCUACCACAAGGUAGGGUGCCUUUGAAAACAGGGAAGAUGGAGAACUUUUUAAGACUGUUCAUGUUUGAGGACCAGUAAGGAAGAAGCCUAAAAACCAUCUAUAGGAGGAAGAGAAUGAAAGGGUAAUUGUAAGCUGCAAGAAGCCAGGUCCGGCAGAGUACUGAAGUGAGGAAAGCCCAGGACCUGGGCACCACAGACAUGAAAAACUGAAGCUGACAACAUGCAACAGGCAGCUCUAGAGGUGAGUCAAAGCAAGAGAGGCAGCCCUGAGCAGCCAGCACACAGCAAGGCAGGAUGGUCCAGUUGUCCAGGAUAGGGGUCACAAAUGCAUAGGGUCUUGGUGAGACGGUCCCCAGGCACCGCAAGGAGGAAUGGGUUUUGGUUUUGUGCAAGUGACAAUGCAGACUGCCUGGAUAUGUCCCCAACUGAGCCACCACAGAAGACAAAGAAGGACUGUGGGAGAGAUGAACAAGGAAAGGAGGUGAGACCCUGGAAAAGAAAUCACAUCAUCAACCAGGGAUGCAAAAAAGGAGACACAGUAGGCAUUCACCUAGAAAGUCUGAAGAAAACAAGGUCAAAGGCAAGAUUAAAAGAGUGAGGUGAAGAUGUAAUUUAAAGGAAAAAAAAAAAGGGAAGAGAAAGGAAGAGGACAAGGUCAGUAGAGAUUUUGGUGAGGGAAGAAUGAAUGAAGCAGGGACUGAGGAGUCUCUUGAUGCAGCAUCAGAGAAGAUGCACUAACUCAGGGCAGCCAACUGUAUCACUUAAGGAAAACAGGGGUAGGGUGGCAUUUCUUUGAGGAAAGAAGCAGUGGAAAGAAGAGUCAAGGAUGGGGGAUGAAGAGAAGGAAACAAAGAGGAGACAGUGGGAUCUUGAUACAGCCAAUAAGCUGAGCAUAAUGUGAAGAAUAUGAGCACUUGUGUGAAACCACUUGACUAACCACCACUGAAUCAGGGCCUGGUUCAGGAGCCUUCCAGUGACAGACUGGGGAAGAAGAUGUGUGAAACACACAGAACACAGUAGUUCAGCACAAAGAAUGGAAACGAAACUUCUAUGCUCACCUCUGAAGAAGCUCUUCUGAAACCUUCUAAGUGACCUCUCACCUCACUUCAUAGAGAAAAUAGAAAAAACGUUUUUACUUGGCCUAUACACUGAUUUCCUGCACACAAGAAACCAUUUUAAUUCAGGCCUCUAGACUGUUUUGC